rnacentral:rRNA from 1 species
AUAGGGGAGCCGAAGGGAAACCGAGUCUUAACUGGGCGUUAAGUUGCAGGGUAUAGACCCGAAACCCGGUGAUCUAGCCAUGGGCAGGUUGAAGGUUGGGUAACACUAACUGGAGGACCGAACCGACUAAUGUUGAAAAAUUAGCGGAUGACUUGUGGCUGGGGGUGAAAGGCCAAUCAAACCGGGAGAUAGCUGGUUCUCCCCGAAAGCUAUUUAGGUAGCGCCUCGUGAACUCAUCUUCGGGGGUAGAGCACUGUUUCGGCUAGGGGGUCAUCCCGACUUACCAACCCGAUGCAAACUGCGAAUACCGAAGAAUGUUAUCACGGGAGACACACGGCGGGUGCUAACGUCCGUCGUGAAGAGGGAAACAACCCAGACCGCCAGCUAAGGUCCCAAAGUCACAGUUAAGUGGGAAACGAUGUGGGAAGGCUCAGACAGCCAGGAUGUUGGCUUAGAAGCAGCCAUCAUUUAAAGAAAGCGUAAUAGCUCACUGGUCGAGUCGGCCUGCGCGGAAGAUGUAACGGGGCUAAACUGUGCACCGAAGCUGCGGCAGCGACGCU